rnacentral:rRNA from 1 species
GACGAACGCUGGCGGCGUGCUUAACACAUGCAAGUCGAACGGAAAGGCCCUGCUUUUGUGGGGUGCUCGAGUGGCGAACGGGUGAGUAACACGUGAGUAACCUGCCCUUGACUUUGGGAUAACUUCAGGAAACUGGGGCUAAUACCGGAUAGGAGCUCCUGCUGCAUGGUGGGGGUUGGAAAGUUUCGGCGGUUGGGGAUGGACUCGCGGCUUAUCAGCUUGUUGGUGGGGUAGUGGCUUACCAAGGCUUUGACGGGUAGCCGGCCUGAGAGGGUGAACGGCGACAAUGGGACUGAGAGAGGGCCCAGACUCCUACGGGAGGCAGCAGUGGGGAAUAUGGCACAAUGGGCGGAAGCCUGAUGCAGCAACGCCGCGUGCGGGAUGACGGCCUUCGGGUUGUAAACCGCUUUCGCCUGUGACGAAGCGUGAGUGACGGUAAUGGGUAAAGAAGCACCGGCUAACUACGUG